GCAGAUUUACCUCCGGGAGAUGAUUUCUGACUAGGGGUUACAGUAUUUCUCUUUUUGUCGUUUUUGGCGCUUUCUGACAAAAAGGGGGAGAUGUGGAUGAUGUGGAUGAUGAUGAUGAUGCAUUUAGCUAGGGCUUGAUGAUGCAUUUAGCUUAGGGCUUAGUUAAAAUUUAAUGCUGCUUUAGGUGUUUGACUUUUAGUGUUUUUGUUUAGUUUAACUAUGAACCAUGAAGUGUGA
rnacentral:lncRNA from 1 species